rnacentral:ncRNA from 1 species
CCCGCUGAACUUAAGCAUACUAAUAAGCGGAGGAAAAGAAACUAACAAGGAUUCCCCUAGUAACGGCGAGUGAAGCGGGAAGAGCUCAAGCUUAAAAUCUCCGUGCAAGUUUUGCGCGGCGAAUUGUAGUCUAUAGAGGCGUGAUCAGUGUGGGCGCUUGGGGCAAGUUCCUUGGAAGAGGACAGCAUGGAGGGUGAUACUCCCGUUCAUCCCUGAGUUGCUCGUGCGUACGAUCCGUUUUCUUUGAGUCGCGUUGUUUGGGAAUGCAGCGCAAAGUAGGUGGUAAAUUCCAUCUAAAGCUAAAUAUUGGUGCGAGACCGAUAGCGAACAAGUACCGUGAGGGAAAGAUGAAAAGAACUUUGAAAAGAGAGUUAAAGAGUACCUGAAACUGCUGAAAGGGAACCGAAUCGUUUCCAGUGUCUAUAAUCCGUGGUAUAUUUCAUUGGCGAGUGUGUGCGUGCGUGUGCUGUGGCAGCGGCUUUUUUGGCUGCGCUCGGCGUGUGUGCUGUGUGUGCUUGCUGGUGCCCUGUGCUGCGGUGGGACGUCAAGGUCAGUUCGUAUGCUGCGGGAAAUGGCCGCCGAGGAGGGUAGGGCUUACGCUUGCGUUUGUCUGUAUAUAUCUUGGUGGACGAGUAGUCGCGGUGGGACUGAGGUGCCUACAACGUGUUUUUGAGUGGGCCUGUGUCUCUGUGUGCGCCGUGUGCGGAUAGCUUGCUAUGCGUGUGUGGUUGUGUGUGGAUUGAUGUGGGUUUUAACUUGUUGCCGUUCGGGACGUUGACGAAAUGGAGCGAUUUGACCCGUCUUGAAACACGGACCAAGGAGUCUAACAUGUGUGCAAGUGUUAGGGUGUGGAAACCCCAGCGCGAAAUGAAAGUGAAGGGCAGCGUAAGUUGUCUGAGGUAGGAAAUGCUGCGGGCUUCGGUCUGCGGUGUGGCACUAUCGACCGAUCAUGAACCUUCGUGGUGAAAGAUUUGAGUUUGAGCACAUAUGUUGGUACCCGAAAGAUGGUGAACUAUGCCUGAGUAGGGUGAAGCCAGGGGAAACUCUGGUGGAAGCUCGUAGCGAUUCUGACGUGCAAAUCGAUCGUCAAACUUGGGUAUAGGGGCGAAAGACUAAUCGAACCAUCUAGUAGCUGGUUCCCUCCGAAAUUUCCCUCAGGAUAGCAGCAACUUAUUUACGAUAGUUUUAUGAGGUAAAGCGAAUGAUUAGAGGAUUCGGGGAAGAAACUUCCUCGACCUAUUCUCAAACUUUAAAUCUGUAAGACCUGCAGGUUUCUUAAUUGAACUUGUGGAUGUGAAUAUCAAGUUGCUAGUGGGCCAUACGGGGUAAGCUCGUCUGGCGAUGCGGGAUGAACCGAACGCAAAGUUAAAGUGCCAAAAUGCUCGCUCACCUAGAUACCAUAAAAGGUGUUGGUUCAUUUAGACAGCAGGACGGUGGCCAUGGAAGUCGGAAUCCGCUAAGGAGUGUGUAACAACUCACCUGCCGAAUGAACUAGCCCUGAAAAUGGAUGGCGCUAAAGCGGGCUACUUAUACUUUGCCGUUAGCGCGAUAGCAUUUAUAAUGUACGCGUUAAUGAGUAGGAGGGCGUGAAGGUCGUGAAGAAGCUCGUGGCGUGAGCCUGAGUGAAACGGCCUUUAGUGCAGAUCUUGGUGGUAGUAGCAAAUAUUCAAAUGCGAACUUUGAAGACUGAAGUGGAGAAAGGUUCCGUGUGAUCAGUAAUUGGACACGGGUGAGUCGAUCCUAAGAGAUAGGAUAAUUCCGUUUGAAAGCUGGGCUGUUUGAGGCGUGGGGUUCGUCCUUGCGUUUUGUAUGCAGCCUCGUGUAUCGAAAGGGAAUCAGGUUAAUAUUCCUGAACCGAGACGUGGAUAAUAUGUGGUAACACAACCGACCCAGGAGACGCUAGCGUGUGCCCAGGGAAGAGUUCUCUUUUCUUUUUAACAAGCAUAUCCUACCUUGGAAACGGAUUAUCCGGCGAUAAGGAGGAUGCCUUGGCAAAGCACUUUACUUUUUGAAGUGUCCUGCGCGCCCACGACAGCCCUUGAAAAUCCUGGCUAGAGAUUUAUUCGCACCCUCGUUCGUACUCAUAACCGCAUCAGGUCUCCCAAGGUUAGCAGCCUCUAGUU